AAUGGCAGCGCCCACGCCCACUCCCACGCCCAGCGCAGCUACUAUCCCUGCUAUCCACACUAAGACUCCAGUGACUGUCAAAGAAGGCACUGACGAGGGAGGGAGAGAGAGGGAGUAGAACAUGUCAAUCGAGCUCCCACUGUUGCAUUCCAGCCUAUGACAUCCAUGUCGUAAGGUGUACGACAGGUUGCUGUGGCUGGGUCUCCGUACUUCACCACCAGACCGGGGGGGUCCACGAUGGGCUUCCCUGCGAUGCACUCCUGGUCUGGCCCCAAAACAAAAGACUUGGAUGCGGACACAGAAGGAGGGACUAUGAUGGAAGUGACGUCAUGUGGGUAAGGGUUCACUCGGACACAUGUAUUGUUGUACUCUUCACUCUGAGUGAUAGACUUGAGAUGCCGACUCGCGGUCAGUUUGUAUGCAGCCAGCGAGUUUGACGGUGGACUAAAGAUGAAUUAAAGAAACAAAAUAAACCCAUCAGUAAUUGAAGAACUUUGGCCUUGCGUGUUUCCUGGAGGGAGUGAAACGGACUCCUCCCAAACAUACAUCUACAGAGCAACUCCCCCAUGCCAAUGGAAUGACUCUCUUGUGCCCUGGGCACCCAGCAUGAAGGCAAGCCCAGCGUAACCUUUGUUUCUUUGAACUUAAAAAAAGUAAGUUGUUAUGGUGUAAAAUCAUUGCAGGUUUUUAAGGGAUUAUGAGGAUUGGAUCCAUUCUCAUUUUUAGAACCCUCCAUUCAACCUAACCUAACCAUAACCUAAACGCACGCACCCAAAAUAAUCACAUCUGUUGACUUCAAAUCUGUGAGAGUGUAAAAGAAAGAAAGAAAGAGAGAGAGAAAGAAAGAAAAAAGAGGCCACUAGAGAAACAACUGCUAAAAUAAAAAAUAAAUAAAUUUCCUUUCAAACGAAUCAAGCCUU